rnacentral:rRNA from 1 species
AGCGAACGCUGGCGGCAGGCUUAACACAUGCAGGUCGAACGGGCUUCUUCGGAAGUCAGUGGCAGACGGGUGAGUAACACGUGGGAACGUGCCCUUCGGUUCGGAAUAACUCAGGGAAACUUGAGCUAAUACCGGAUACGCCCUUUUGGGGAAAGGUUUACUGCCGAAGGAUCGGCCCGCGUCUGAUUAGCUUGUUGGUGGGGUAACGGCCUACCAAGGCGACGAUCAGUAGCUGGUCUGAGAGGAUGAUCAGCCACACUGGGACUGAGACACGGCCCAGACUCCUACGGGAGGCAGCAGUGGGGAAUAUUGGACAAUGGGCGCAAGCCUGAUCCAGCCAUGCCGCGUGAGUGAUGAAGGCCUUAGGGUUGUAAAGCUCUUUUGUCCGGGACGAUAAUGACGGUACCGGAAGAAUAAGCCCCGGCUAACUUCGUG